GAUGAACGCUGGCGGCGUGCCUAAUACAUGCAAGUAGAACGCUGAAGGAGGAGCUUGCUCUUCUGGAUGAGUUGCGAACGUGUGAGUAACGCGUAGGUAACCUGCCUGGUAGCGGGGGAUAACUUUUGGAAACGAUAGCUAAUACCGCAUCACAACAGUUAUUGCAUGAUAACUGUUUAAAAGGGGCAACUGCUCCACUACCAGAUGGACCUGCGUUGUAUUAGCUAGUUGGUGAGGUAACGGCUCACCAAGGCGACGGUACAUAGCCGACCUGAGAGGGUGAUAGGCCACACUGGGACUGAGACACGGCCCAGACACCUACGGGAGGCAGAAGUAGGGAAUAUUCGGAAAUGGACGGAAGUAUGACAGAGCAACGCCGCGUGAGUGAAGAAGGGUUUCGGAUCGAAAAGCUCUGUUGUAAGAGAAGAACGAGUGUGAGAGUGGAAAGUUCACACUGUGACGGCAUCUUACCAGAAAGGGACGGCUAACUACGUG
rnacentral:rRNA from 1 species